CGCCUGGGGAGUACGGGUGAGGUAACGGCUCACCAAGGCAACGACGGGUAGCUGGUCUGAGAGGACGAUCAGCCACACUGGGACUGAGACACGGCCCAGACUCCUACGGGAGGCAGCAGCAGGGAAUCUUGCGCAAUGGGCGAAAGCCUGACGCAGCCACGCCGCGUGAGGGAUGAAGGCUCUAGGGUCGUAAACCUCUUUCAGCAGGGACGAAAAUGACGGUACCUGCAGAAGAAGCUCCGGCCAACUACGUGCCAGCAGCCGCGGUAACACGUAGGGGGCGAGCGUUGUCCGGAUUUAUUGGGCGUAAAGAGCUCGUAGGCUGUUCAGUAAGUCAGGUGUGAAAACUCGAGGCUCAACCUCGAGACGCCACCUGAUACUGCUGUGACUAGGGUCCGGUAGGGGAGUGUGGAAUUCCUGGUGUAGCGGUGAAAUGCGCAGAUAUCAGGAGGAACACCAGCAGCGAAGGCGGCACUCUGGGCCGGUACUGACGCUCAGGAGCGAAAGCAUGGGGAGCGAACAGGAUUAGAUACCCUGGUAGUCCAUGCCGUAAACGUUGGGCACUAGGUGUGGGAUUUAACUAACAAAUUCCGUGCCGUAGCUAACGCAUUAAGUGCCCCGCCUGGGGAGUACGG
rnacentral:rRNA from 1 species